rnacentral:lncRNA from 1 species
UGGUGCUGGGUGCAGAUGCAGUGUGGCUCUGGAUAGCACCUUAUGGACAGUUGUGUCCCCAAGGAAGGAUGAGAAUAGCUACUGAAGUCCUAAAGAGCAAGCCUAACUCAAGCCAUUGGCACACAGGCAUUAGACAGAAAGCUGGAAGUUGAAAUGUUUUGGCAGGGGGUGAACACUCAUCUGUGGCUAUUCUAAGACCACUCUUAUUUCUUAGGUGGAGUCCAACUUGCCUGGACCAGCUU